rnacentral:rRNA from 1 species
CGAACGCUGGCGGCGUGCUUAACACAUGCACGUCGAACGGAAAGGCCCCUUUGGGGGUACUCGAGUGGCGAACGGGUGAGUAACACGUGAGUAACCUGCCCUUGACUUCGGGAUAACUUCAGGAAACUGGGGCUAAUACCGGAUAGGAAUCCUUGCUGCAUGGUGGGGGUUGGAAAGCUUCGGCGGUUUUGGAUGGACUCGCGGCUUAUCAGCUUGUUGGUGGGGUAGUGGCUUACCAAGGCUUUGACGGGUAGCCGGCCUGAGAGGGCGACCGGCCACAUUGGGACUGAGAUACGGCCCAGACUCCUACGGGAGGCAGCAGUGGGGAAUAUUGCACAAUAGGCGGAAGCCUGAUGCAGCAACGCCGCGUGCGGGAUGACGGCCUUCGGGUUGUAAACCGCUUUCAGCAGGGGCGAAGCUUGUGGUGACGGUACCUGCAGAAGAAGCACCGGCUAACUACGUG